rnacentral:lncRNA from 1 species
GGGGGGGGGGGGGGGGGGGGGGGGGGGGGGGGGGGGGGGCCGCGCUCCCAGAGACGGGCGCGGUGACGGCCGGCAGCCGGGGCUCUGGCGUCGGGCGGCAUGUGCCGCUGCCCGACGGAAGAUGGGCUGUACUGCCUGUGCCUGGCCCCUGUUAGCCUGGAGAAAUUAUUUAAGAAGCUGAUUAUGGAUUCAGGAAGCAGAGUAGCUGCAGUUUUCAUCUGCUCUGAGGAGGAAGAAAGAAAGAAGAUUGAAGCUGCAACCAUGUUGUGAAGGAUUGCACUUUAGCACUGUUUGCUUUAGGAUGGUGCAACAGAGCAACGCUGAGGAAGCAGAACAGAGGACAAGUAAAAUGGCUUUGCUUGAGGAAAAUGCCAUGAAACACUGCAAGAUGUGGAAAGGGAGUCAGCUGCAGUACGUGCCUCAAAACUCAUGACGGGCCAGCACUGGAGAUCCAGCGAAUGCUGGGAGAGAAUAAUGGAUUGAAUUCUCUCAGAGAGAGCCCUGUAAGCAUGUGACCAUGCUACAGAAGAUUCCCUAGACUAGAGAGCAAUAUAGAUACAGCCAGCAGUACAGAGCAGACACCGGGACGGGCUGAUGAUGGAGCGCCAUCUGCUAAGCAGCAAGUUCUCUGCAGAGGAGCUCUUUACGUGGAGCAGAUCCCUAUAGCUGCAGUUUUGAAAAUAAUACCUUCUGGUGGAAGAAGUUAAAAUAAAGCUAAAACUUGAAGGGACUCCAGCUUCCUUUAUUAUCCCUGAAAUUGUCACUGAUUCAAAUAAAAACUCAAAGCAUUCUGUAAUGUUUUUUUCUCCAUGGUUUUGGCAGCACUACACUGUUGCUGAAGCUCUCAGUCUGUUGAAUGUCUGGAAGACCAUGUAGUAUUACACAUAACUAGGGCAGUCACUUCCCUUUGUGUCUGAUCCAGCAACCCAGUAUGAUUUGUGCAAUCUAGAAUGGCAAGAAUUAACAUGACACAUCUGAGGAAACGUGAGACCAGCUUCACAGCUAAUAAAACAGAAGACAGUUGAUCAAAUAAAA